rnacentral:rRNA from 1 species
GAUGAACGCUGGCGGCGUGCCUAAUACAUGCAAGUCGAGCGAACGGACGAGAAGCUUGCUUUUCUGAUGUUAGCGGCGGACGGGUGAGUAACACGUGGAUAACCUACCUAUAAGACUGGGAUAACUUCGGGAAACCGGAGCUAAUACCGGAUAAUAUUUUGAACCGCAUGGUUCAAAAGUGAAAGACGGUCUUGCUGUCACUUAUGGAUGGAUCCGCGCUGCAUUAGCUAGUUGGUAAGGUAACGGCUUACCAAGGCAACGAUGCAUAGCCGACCUGAGAGGGUGAUCGGCCACACUGGAACUGAGACACGGUCCAGACUCCUACGGGAGGCAGCAGUAGGGAAUCUUACGCAAUGGGCGAAAGCCUGACGGAGCAACGCCGCGUGAGUGAUGAAGGUCUUCGGAUCGUAAAACUCUGUUAUUAGGGAAGAACAUAUGUGUAAGUAACUGUGCACAUCUUGACGGUACCUAAUCAGAAAGCCACGGCUAACUACGUG